CAGUAGCCGCGGUAAUACCGAGGGUGCGAGCGUUAAUCGGAUUUACUGGGCGUAAAGCGUGCGUAGGCGGCUUCUUAAGUCGGAUGUGAAAUCCCUGAGCUUAACUUAGGAAUUGCAUUCGAUACUGGGAAGCUAGAGUAUGGGAGAGGAUGGUAGAAUUCCAGGUGUAGCGGUGAAAUGCGUAGAGAUCUGGAGGAAUACCGAUGGAGAAGGCAGCCAUCUGGCCUAAUACUGACGCUGAGGUACGAAAGCAUGGGGAGCAAACAGGAUUAGAUACCCGUGUAGUCCCUGUCUCUUAUAC
rnacentral:rRNA from 1 species